rnacentral:ncRNA from 1 species
UGAAGUUCUCACAUUGAUAGCUGGAGUACGUAAUGAAGCAGUUACAUUUUGGUAAAGUGAACGAUCAAAGGAAUUGUAGGACGAAAUGCCUUUAACCUAUUAUCAAACUUUCAAUGGGUAUGACGUCUUUCUUGCUUAAAUGGAAUGUAGACACUGAAUAUGUGCUCCAAGUGAGUUAUUUUUUGCAAGCGGAACUGACGCUGUGGAAAAAAUCAAACGUUGAAUUCAAGUAUAAGUCUCCAUUCAACGAUUCUCAUACUAAACCAAAGUCGGCAUAUAAAAGGUAAAAGUUCUGGUAGUUUUGAGUAG